UACGAAGGGGGCUAGCGUUGUUCGGACUUACUGGGCGUAAAGCGCACGUAGGCGGACAUUUAAGUCAGGGGUGAAAUCCCGGGGCUCAACCCCGGAACUGCCUUUGAUACUGGGUGUCUCGAGUCCGGAAGAGGUGAGUGGAAUUCCGAGUGUAGAGGUGAAAUUCGUAGAUAUUCGGAGGAACACCAGUGGCGAAGGCGGCUCACUGGUCCGGUACUGACGCUGAGGUGCGAAAGCGUGGGGAGCAAACAGG
rnacentral:rRNA from 1 species